rnacentral:tRNA from 1 species
AAGGAUUUAAGUUAAAAAAACUAGUAACCUUCAAAGUUGCCAAUAGAAACAGGCUCUAAGCCUUA